rnacentral:rRNA from 1 species
UACGUAGGGUGCGAGCGUUGUCCGGAAUUACUGGGUGUAAAGGGUGCGUAGGCGGGCAUGUGCGUCGGAGGUUAAAUACAACGGCUUAACCGUUGAACUGCCUUCGAAACGGCAUGUCUUGAAUGUGGGAGAGGAUGAUGGAAUUCCUGGUGUAGCGGUGAAAUGCGUAGAUAUCGGGAGGAACACCAGUAGCGAAGGCGGCCAUCUGGCUGGUAACUGACGCUGAGGUGCGAGAGCGUGGGGAGCAAACAGG